rnacentral:rRNA from 1 species
AUUGAACGCUGGCGGCAGGCCUAACACAUGCAAGUCGAACGAGUGGCGGACGGGUGAGUAAUGUCUGGGAAACUGCCCGAUGGAGGGGGAUAACUACUGGAAACGGUAGCUAAUACCGCAUACCAUCGGAUGUGCCCAGAUGGGAUUAGCUUGUAGGUGAGGUAACGGCUCACCUAGGCGACGAUCCCUAGCUGGUCUGAGAGGAUGACCAGCAACACUGGAACUGAUACACGGUCCAGACUCCUACGGGAGGCAGCAGGGGGGAAUAUUGGACAAUGGGCGCAAGCCUGAUGCAGACAGGACGCGGGUAGGAAGAAGGCCUUCGGGUUGUAAAGUAAUUGCAGCGGGGAGGCGUUACCCGCAGAAGAAGCACCGGCGAACUCCGUGCCAGCAGCCGCGGUAAUUC